AUUGAACGCUGGCGGCAGGCCUAACACAUGCAAGUCGAGCGAGCGGCGGACGGGUGAGUAAUGUCUGGGAAACUGCCUGAUGGAGGGGGAUAACUACUGGAAACGGUAGCUAAUACCGCACACCAUCAGAUGUGCCCAGAUGGGAUUGGCUAGUGGUUGGGGUAACGGCUCACCUAGGCGCCGAUCCCUAGCUGGUCUGAGAGGAGGACCAGCCACACUGGAACUGGGAAACGGUCCAGACUCCUCCGGGAGGCAGCAGUGGGGAAUAUGGCACAAGGGGCGCAAGCCGGAUGCAGCCAUGCCGCGGGUGUGAAGAAGGCCUUCGGGUUGUAAAGCACUUUCAGCGGGGAGGCUUUACCCGCAGAAGAAGCACCGGCUAACUCCGUGCCAGCAGCCGCGGUAAUUC
rnacentral:rRNA from 1 species